UGGGGGAAUAUUGCACAAUGGAGGAAACUCUGAUGCAGCGACGCCGCGUGAGUGAAGAAGUAAUUCGUUAUGUAAAGCUCUAUCAGCAGGGAAGAUAGUGACGGUACCUGACUAAGAAGCUCCGGCUAAAUACGUGCCAGCAGCCGCGGUAAUACGUAGGGGGCAAGCGUUAUCCGGAUUUACUGGGUGUAAAGGGAGCGUAGACGGCAUGGCAAGUCUGAAGUGAAAUGCGGGGGCUCAACCCCUGAACUGCUUUGGAAACUGUCAGGCUGGAGUGCAGGAGAGGUAAGUGGAAUUCCUAGUGUAGCGGUGAAAUGCGUAGAUAUUAGGAGGAACACCAGUGGCGAAGGCGGCUUACUGGACUGUAACUGACGUUGAGGCUCGAAAGCGUGGGGAGCAAACAGGAUUAGAUACCCUGGUAGU
rnacentral:rRNA from 1 species